rnacentral:piRNA from 1 species
UAUCAUUUCUCCUACUUUUUGAUAUCUUC